CCAUGUCUAGUAUCCUUUCCCAUCUUGAUAGCACUGGUCACUCCGCCUCUCUUAAUGAUUUUAAGAUUAUUUCUUGUUGCUCUUCUCCAGACGAACUCCUCAUUCAUUAGCUUUCAAAUAAAUAUUUUAAAUUAUAUUUUUGUUAUGGCUCUUUACGUGUUUUAUGCUGGGCAUUAAUAUUUAUCCUAAGAUUACGAUUUCCGCCUGGUUCAUCUAUCGCAUGUAGAAUAUGACGAAUAUGUUCUGGACGGAUGGCGCCCGAAAUUAAUACGAAUUCUCGGCAUGAACCGCUAUUCGUCCGGAAACAGUUUCCAAAAAAACAUUUUAUUGCGAGCCGGAACGAUGCGACGAUUUAACCAAUAUUUCCUGGACGGAUGGCGAUCGAAAUUUAUACGAAUAUCGAAUACGAAUAAUAAUUAUGGACAGGAUAUAAUUACCGAAUGUAAGACGAACUUUUCGGAAGAUCAACGAUUGCUUCGCCGGAACGGAGGACUACGGCAAAUUGUCUUCGUGCUAGUGAAGGCGUCCACCGCAAUUUAACAUAUAUCACGUAUAAUUUAAAAUAUUUUUAUAUACUAUCACAUUUAUGAAUUAAUAUACAUUACUUGUAUGUCAGAAUUCCAAUCCAAGUAAGCUUUUUAGUUUUGUGGAAACACCGCGUAUAUUCAUUUGGCUAAGCUUUCGACAAAUAUACGCGGUGGACAACGAAACAAAGCUUCAAUUUCAAAAUUUAAAAAACAUAAUCUUAUUUAUUUUGCUACGAGACUCGAGUUCAUUUCUUAUGAGAUGUGGUAGCUACAAGAUCAUUCUGUGGCCAGCAGAAUCAUCUAUAUAUAUAUAUAUGCGCAUUUUCUCGCAUUUUCCUAUUUAUGUGUAUAUUCUUACAUUUAAUAUCUGUACUAUUUGUUCAUGUAUAUGAUGUUGCCGAUAAGCCGAACUUUUUCCGAAUGUCGACACUUGCAUUCGUGUCGUGAAUGCUUCCGGCAAAUUGUAUCAGCACGUUAACAAUUAAUGUAUCACGUUGACAUUUGCAUAUAUUAUUACAUUAUCUAUGAAUAUACAUUAUAAAUAUAUGGCGAAGGAUUCGCGUAAAAUCCAAUCUAAGUACGUUUUAUAGCUUUUAUAUACUGUUACUUUGCAAACUUGAAUUCAUGUUCAUUUUCAAGUGGACUUUCUGCAUGAUGUGUUCAAACCAUUCUAUGACUGUAGACGUCAGCAAAAUACAAUGAAGACUUUCGUCUGAAUGGAUAGCAACCAAAAUUAAUAUGAAUAUAUAUCGACUAAUUCAAUGAUCUUCAAAACCUCGAUAAUUCAUGAAGAAAACACAAAGAAAAAUCAUAAGCGUGUGGUAUCUUUAUAUGUGAUAUCUCCCUUGAUUUACAUAUGAACUUUAAUCAUAAUGAACCGAUAUUUUGGCAAAAUCAAAGUGAAAUGUCAAAGUAAAAUUGAAUGCAAGCAGAUUUUAAUGUGAAGCAUAGCAGUUGAAAUGGACUCUGAAGAAUAAAGAAAAUGAUUUGCUAGAAAAAACAUUCGUGCCUAUAGGCCUUGCAAUUCGACUCAAAGGGAACGUUCAGCCAUGGUAAUACAACAGAAUAUCAAUAUUUAUGCACACAAACAUACACAACAACAUUUUUUUUUAAUUUUUUAAAUUUUUAUAUAUUUUUUUGUACUUUUUAAAUUUUUUAAAUUACAUCUAUGAUGCUGCUAUAAAAGCAGACAAACACACAACUUUUUUUGGUUAUUUUUAAGUUUUUAUAUAUUUUUUUGUACUUUUUAUUUUUUAAAAUUACAUCUAUGAUGCUGCUAAUUGCAGACAAACACACAACUUUUUUUUUGGUUAUUUUUAAAUUUAUAUAUAUUUUUUUGUACUUUUUAUUUUUUAAAAUUACAUCUAUGAUGCUGCUAUAAAUGCAGACGAACACACAAGCUUAUACACACACAUUUAUAAAUUAAAUUUUUAAUCUUCAAUCUGCCAUGCUUAUAAAAUGCAGAUAGAAGCAAAUAUUUACAGAUCCAUGGUUGCUGAAGAACAGACACACACGCAAAUACAAGGAAUCCUUGGAAAAUCAUGGCCUACUGGCGCACGUUAUGCUAAUCACAUUGUUUAAUGAAUUAUAUUUCUAUGCAAAUCAAUAUUGUCAAUAUUCGCGUCAAUUUCCGACUGCGAGCUUCACACAUUGCGAUACAAAAUUGAAGACAGCAAACAUUUUGUGUCUUCAAACAUUAAAUGUACUUUCAAAAUCCUCUAUACACGGAGACUCCAGAGAAUAGUAAAUGCAAGGGUCACAUAUAAAGUAAACAGGAUCGGAGCAUUUCCGACGUGAACUAUAAGGAAACAGAUGUGUAGUACGAGACAGGCGAGACAUCGCGAUAGCAUUGUGAGCGAAGAAUGAGGCGAAUAUGGCACAAGUUCUUUGCCAGCUUUAAGACCUGAAAUUGAGUUGAGUGAAAAAUGCUCAAUUCAAGUGCUUUAUGAAACAAUAUUAAAAUGGAAUUUCUGAAUAUGAAUUUCAAACAUUUCUUCAGACCUAAUUAGGAGCAACCGCGAAAGAUGCAGACCAUUUGACAGGAAUCGAACCCGUGGUCCCGCGAUUCCAGUGCAGCGCUCUUAAUCAAAUAAGUUCAUUAAGAUAGAGUCAGUAACGGCUACGGUAUUCAACGUCAAGGCAGACUACCAAUCCGGCCUAGCAAAUAGAUCGAAACCAUUUGCAACAUUCGCGGCCGUGUUGUAUCAAGUAUACCAAUUCUCGCCUUCCGCUCGAAGUUCGUAUAUCUGAUACAACACGCUCGCGAAUGUUGGAAAUGGUACAACAAUAGAGCAAAUAGAAAACUAAUUUUAUUUCUAGUAUUUCUAAACUAGUGCGCAUUUUAACGACAGAUCUUUUUUCAUAACUCUAUACUUCAGAGCCGUUUCGAUUCAUCUUAACUAGAUAUUUACAACAUCUUGCAAAUAUACUACUCAAGAUAAAUUGAAACGGAUUCGAAAUAUAUAGUUUUUAAAAUAGAUAUGUUGUUAAAAUGCGCACUGUUUUCGCAACAAAAUUAGUUUUAUAUUUGCUACAAAAAGAGCGCUGCACUGAAAUCGCAGGGCGACAGGUUUGAUUCCUACCAAAGGAUCUAUAAUUGCAAUUUUCGCAAUUGCUCCUGGUUAAGUCUGAACAAAUGUACAAAAUUCACACUCGAGAAAAUUCCUUGAAUAUUAGUUCAAUUGAAUUUGAUUAUUUUCAUAUUUUCAAUAUUUUUGGGAAGAUCAGUGACUUCGACCUGGAUGUUACCGAAGUGCCGAAUGGGUGUGCAUUCCGAAUUUCUACAAGACUCUCUUUUUUAAACCGAAAGGUAGACUUCUUCGAGAAGUCUACACGCGCGUUUGUGCCGUAUGAUUGUCUUUCACCAGCCCUGUUAAUUCGAGGGAGGUAAUUUAACUCCAGUGAUGGAGUUAUUUUGAACCACAGUUUGAACCACGUUUAAAUCACCUUUUGACUAAAAUUUAGAUCUCAACAAGUCUGUAUAAACAAAAAUUUUAUCACAGCUUGAAAGAGUAUCACAAAACUGGUAAUAUUCCAAAGUUUCGUUGCGAAAUGUUGUAAAAUGCGGAUAAUAUAAUAGCCUUACGAAGUUUGCAAUUUUCAGUCAUUUUAGAUUACAAACUUGUAAUACAAAAUGACUGAAAAUGGACCUUUCACCUUUUGACUAAAAUUUAGAUCUCAACAAGUCUAGACAAACAUUUUAUCACAGCUUGAAAGAGCAUCACAAAA
rnacentral:lncRNA from 1 species